UAAAAGUGUUCUAUCACGUCUUACCACACACAUCAACUAUUAGUUAUCAAUUUUAACACUUUUAUCUAAAUUCAUAAUUACUUAUUGGUGAUUUGCACAAAAGAGAUUCUUGGACACUCUUAUUUAUAUUGUUCCCAAUUAUGGCAUUUGUGUGGGAAUGAUCUUAAAAAAUGUGAACUAAAAAUAUUAUUUAGUUGAAAGGUAGAGAUGGAAGUUAGAGGGAACCAAUACAGUUAAAUCACGGCACAUAAGUCAUGACAUUGGAAUAACUUCGUGUGUAG
rnacentral:lncRNA from 1 species